rnacentral:rRNA from 1 species
UACAGAGGCCUCGAGCGUUAGGCGGAAUCACUGGGCUUAAAGCGUGUGUAGGUGGAUGCCUAAGUACCUUGUGAAAUCCCACGGCUUAACCGUGGAACUGCUGGGUAUACUGGGUAUCUUGAGCCACUCAGGGGCUACCGGAACAAACGGUGGAGCGGUGAAAUGCGUAGAUAUCGUUUGGAACGCCAAUGGUGAAAACAGGUAGCUGGGGGUGUGCUGACACUGAGACACGAAAGCCAGGGGAGCAAACGGG